UUCUGAUAGUCGCUGGGCAAGCAGAGGGCUCGGGGUUCCUACUUCACAAGAUGAGGGGCGCAGGCGGGAGAGGCUGCUGCCUUCACUUUGCAAAACCACAGAGAUGAAAACAGCAACACUGCAAAGCUGAGAGGGGAGGCCAUGGUCCUUCAUCACUUUACACCCCGCCACGGGCAGCUGUGCAAAGUACAGGACACACCGGGCAGCCACAGGAACGGUGCACUGGCACUUGAGCAGAUUCUCUGCUGCUGUAACAGCAUCACAGGGUCUCUCACUGAACUUGGAGAGCACUGAUUUGCCUAGACUGGCUGAUAAGCAGAAAACAGGGAUUCUCCCAUCUCUGCAUUCUUAGUGCUGGGACUACAGGAGAACAUCACUGCACACAGCUUCUUUACAUGUGACCUGUGGGGAAUCGAAUGCUGCUCCUCAUGCUUCUACAGCAAAGUUAACAAACUCAGCUCUCCCUCCAGCCCUGAUUUCAUCUCUUAGGCUAUAAUAUCCACAAGUAGACACUGCAUUCUCGAUUUCUACUUCAUAUUAUUUGAUAUUGACAAAUAGCACUGCUGCUGAUUUUUUCUCUUGCAGCUGAUGAUUUCAUUAGUGUUGGUAGUUUGUUCUGGGGCUUGGGUGUUUUCCUGUAUGAAAUCAUGUCAAUGUCAAGCAGUGGUAAUUUAGUUUCUUUCUGUUCUGAUUUUGUCAACUUUUAUUUUUUUCCCUCGUCUGAUUUUGUUGACCAGGACUUCCAGUAUAAGGUUGAAUAAAAGAGGACAUUGUUGUCUUGUUCCCGGUCCUAAGAGGGAAUUCUUAUCUAUGUACUGUUUAGUAUACUGCUGCUGCCUUCCUAUAAAUGGUCAUUAUUUUUAUACCUGGUUUGCUUAUCAUUUAUUAUAUAAAUGAAUGUUACAUGCUAUAAAAUACUCCCCUUUCUGCACCAGUUGAAAUAGUCAAAUGAUUGUGUACUUCAUUCUGUUGGUGUGGUAUAUCAUAUUUGUGGAUUUGCAUACAUCAACCAUUCCUGCAUCACUGGGAUGAAUUCCACUUAAUCUUAUGCUUUGGUAUAUUGUGUUUCCACUUUCAUUUAUUUAAAGAAUUAGGCUGGGUCUGCUUUUAAUCCCAGCACUCAGGAGGCAGAGGCAGGUGGAUCUCUAUGAGUUCGAGGUCAGCUGGGUCUACAAAGUGAGUUCCAGGAU